CGUUGUAACAUCGGUUCCCAUACGAUUAUCGCAGUUAAGCAACGUCGACCCUGGUCAGUACCUAGAUGGGUGACCACAUGAAAAUAGUAGGUGCUGUUA